AUUGAACGCUGGCGGCAGGCUUAACACAUGCAAGUCGAGCGGAGAUGAGGUGCUUGCACCUUAUCUUAGCGGCGGACGGGUGAGUAAUGCUUAGGAAUCUGCCUAUUAGUGGGGGACAACAUUCCGAAAGGAAUGCUAAUACCGCAUACGUCCUACGGGAGAAAGCAGGGGAUCUUCGGACCUUGCGCUAAUAGAUGAGCCUAAGUCGGAUUAGCUAGUUGGUGGGGUAAAGGCCUACCAAGGCGACGAUCUGUAGCGGGUCUGAGAGGAUGAUCCGCCACACUGGGACUGAGGCACGGCCCAGACUCCGCCGGGAGGCAGCAGUGGGGAAUAUUGGACAAUGGGGGGAACCCUGAUCCAGCCAUGCCGCGUGUGUGAAGAAGGCCUUAUGGUUGUAAAGCACUUUAAGCGAGGAGGAGGCUACUGAGACUAAUACUCUUGGAUAGUGGACGUUACUCGCAGAAUAAGCACCGGCUAACUCUGUGCCAGCAGCCGCCGUAAGAC
rnacentral:rRNA from 1 species